GGAUAUGGUAUUUACAUAUCUAAUUUGAGGUGCUAUGCUUCUAAUCUGUUUUGUCCGUGAAAUUGAUUGGUUGGAAAAAACUAACUAACUCACUGCAUCUCCCAUUGGUACCAUGGCAACAGUAAGAUGUAACACCUCUGAGGAGGACGAGGACCAGCAAAGCACUCGCAAAAUUCAUCUUCGGUCUAUGCCGCGACGACGGCAAUUGUUGGUCGGUAGGGUUAUACGAUAAUAUAAUGUAUAUAAUAUAAACUAAAAUAGUUGUUAGGCCAAUCAAUCCAUCUUCUGGCUAUGGUAGUAAUCUAUUUUGGCAUGCUUCAAAUGUUUUGUGCCCUUGAAAUUGAUUUGUAGAAAAAAACUAAAACGAAAUUUGAAAAACGAGCGAGAAGGUUGGGAGAUGGGCUCGCAAACGCAGCCUUUUGGGAGUUACACAUAUCCACUUUUGGCACAAAUCGAACUCCAAAUCCACUUUUUGAUAAUCGUAUUGAGAAAAACGCAGAUUGGCCAUCUCGGACUCGAGAUGUAGUUGCUCAGGGGUGGGGCCCCAUGCUGUGGUCUUCGGGAUGGUCUUCUUGACAGCAAGCGUUUGACGCCAUUUCCGUAGUAUGCACCUUCCAAGAUGCUAAGUUAAGUAGUAAAGUCCAGUAAGCCACUAAAGACAUGCAGCGCUCGUGAGUAAAAGCGGAGAUUCACUCACAGGACUGGCGAAAUCUACAAUAUACGAUGGAUACA